rnacentral:rRNA from 1 species
GACGAACGCUGGCGGCGUGCUUAACACAUGCAAGUCGAACGAAGUGGCGAACGGGUGAGUAACGCGGAAUCAACCUGCCCUUCAGUGGGGUACAACAGUUAGAAACGACUGCUAAUACCGCAUACUGAAGGAGGGGAUGGCGUCUGAUUGGCUAGUUGGGGGGGUAACGGCCCACCAAGGCGAUGACCGGUAGCAGGGCUGAGAGGAUGAACGGCCAGAGUGGGACUGAGACAAGGCCCAUACUCCUCCGGGUGGCAGCAGUGGGGAAUCUUCCGCAAUGGACGAAAGUCUGACGGAGCAACGCCGCGUGCGUGAUGACGGCCGUCGGGUUGUAAAGCUCUGUUAAUCGGGACGCGGUACCGGAAUAGAAAGCCACGGCUAACUACGUGCCAGCAGCCGCGGUAAUUC